rnacentral:rRNA from 1 species
UACAGAGGUCUCAAGCGUUGUUCGGAUUCAUUGGGCGUAAAGGGUGCGUAGGCGGCGCGGUAAGUCGGGUGUGAAAUCUCGGAGCUUAACUCCGAAACUGCAUCCGAUACUGCCGUGCUUGAGGACUGGAGAGGAGACUGGAAUUUACGGUGUAGCGGUGAAAUGCGUAGAUAUCGUAAGGAAGACCAGUGGCGAAGGCAGCUCGCUGGGACGUUACUGACGCUGAGACGCGAAAGCGUGGGGAGCAAACAGG